CAUUUGCUGUCAUGUAAUAACUUUCAUGUUUCUCUGAGUUUGUGACGGCAGUUCUGUCCAAUCAGAACUCUUUCUGAGGCUUGCGUGAUGACACUUCUCACCAAUCAAAGCACUCUCUAAGUCUGUGAUAUUUCUUCUCUCCAAUUAGAGCCCUCCCUGAGACGGGUGAGAGAGGAACUGGAGGUGGCUAGGCAGGAAGCAGCUCAGGCUCUGGACUGUUUGUGUGCGGAACGCGAGGGCCGGGCCCAGGACACCCUCCACAUGAGAGACGCAGUGUCCCUGUCCCAACACACAGAGGCGCUAUCGGCCCUGUCGGAGCAGCUGGCGCAGACAGCCCAGGAGCUGCAGGCAGAAAGGGCCCUGCGAUGCCAUGCCCAGACUGAGACGGCUAGGCUAGAGGCCCAGCUACAGGCCACACAAGAGGACCUUAUACCCAGGGAGGAGCACAAUAAAGUUAAGUUGGAGCUGCAGCGCGCUCUGCAGGCCAGUGAGAGCAGUGCGGCAGAGGCCAAGGAUGCUCUGAGUGUGAAGGAGACAGAGCUGAGAGACAUGAGGUCCCAGAAGGCUUUGGAACAGGGCCUGGUGUCCAAGGAGGACCACGAGUCCCAGCGCCUCUCACUGCAGGCCGACAUCAACACACUCACCGCCCGAUUCAACGACCUCACACGCAAACAUGAGAAGACCUGCACCGAGGUGUGUGUGUGUGUGUGUGUGUGUGUGUGUGUUCUUGUUUACCAAAAUACUGAGAAUUUGAAGAAAGUUAGAGACAAACAUUAA
rnacentral:lncRNA from 1 species